AGAGUUUGAUCAUGGCUCAGGACGAACGCUGGCGGCGUGCCUAAUACAUGCAAGUCGAGCGAAUCAAUGGGAGCUUGCUCCCAUUGAUUAGCGGCGGACGGGUGAGUAACACGUGGGUAACCUGCCUGUAAGACUGGGAUAACUUCGGGAAACCGGAGCUAAUACCGGAUAGUUUCUUUUCUCGCAUGAGAGAAGAUGGAAAGAUGGUUUCGGCUAUCACUUACAGAUGGACCCGCGGCGCAUUAGCUAGUUGGUGAGGUAAUGGCUCACCAAGGCAACGAUGCGUAGCCGACCUGAGAGGGUGAUCGGCCACACUGGGACUGAGACACGGCCCAGACUCCUACGGGAGGCAGCAGUAGGGAAUCUUCCGCAAUGGACGAAAGUCUGACGGAGCAACGCCGCGUGAGCGAAGAAGGCCUUCGGGUCGUAAAGCUCUGUUGUUAGGGAAGAACAAGUACAAGAGUAACUGCUUGUACCUUGACGGUACCUAACCAGAAAGCCACGGCUAACUACGUGCCAGCAGCCGGGGUA
rnacentral:rRNA from 1 species